GUCGGAUUGGAAGACACACCUGAAAGGUCUCCCUUACUCCUCCCCUGCCCUCCUCCCUCCUGGAAACCGCCAGCUCGCGCCCUCUGCGUAGGGUCUUCCCUGGCCGGCUGCGUGGUCUUCAAGUUUGUCUGACAUGCAGUAGGGGGCUCCUUCCGGCAGAUUUUUUAAUGUAGUGUGUCUUGCUGGCAAAAGACAUUGUUAUUUGUUUGUUUGUAUUUACUCAUUUAUUUACUUUAUCUCCACAGCCGGAGCUGUUAACAUUUCCGUGAAAUCUGAGCCCUCGUGUCUAGCUUUCAUCUGACUUCAAGUUCCAGGUCCAGAGAUCAAAUCCAGGACCUGACUCCACCACUGAACACACUCUACACCUCCUUAGAUAUCUUGAAGAGAAGUGUUGUAAGUUGGACAGACCCUAAAUUAUCCUGGGAAGCAAGAGCAUAUUUUUGUUUUGUGCAAAGCCACGGGACUGCUGGAAUCAGACUUACUGCAAGCACAUCCGGUUUCAUUUAUUUGUCAGUUCGGAAGUUGUCAUCCACUAGAAUCCUGGACUUCCGUAAAGCAAGAGUUCUCAAAGAAAACAUUAAGGCUUCAAAGAGGUGAACACCAGAAAACAAAACUUCUCCAGCACCUUCCAUGUGAAAUAAUCCUGUUUCUUGCCUGAACUCCCAGUGUGAGGACAGGUCAGAAGCAACCCAAGGGACCACCAGUGCCCCAGACUCCAGAUGACCCUGGGAAAGAGGACCCACACUCCCCAUGGGGCUGGAGUGCAGGUGUGGGAGGAAAGUUGAACAUAUGAAAAUGAAUGUAAGAAAUACACAAUGAAUAAAAUAGCAGAAUGUUAAAUAAAGACAAGCUCUCUGUUGUUUUACUGCCCUGGGUCAUGUAGUAGAGAC
rnacentral:lncRNA from 1 species